rnacentral:rRNA from 1 species
AACCCUUUGUGAACUUAUACCUAUACUGUUGCCUCGGCGCUGGCCGGCCUCCUCACCGAGGCCCCCUGGAGACAGGGAGCAGCCCGCCGGCGGCCAAACAAACUCUUGUUUCUUAGUGAAUCUCUGAGUAAAAAACAUAAAUGAAUCAAAACUUUCAACAACGGAUCUCUUGGUUCUGGCAUCGAUGAAGAACGCAGCGAAAUGCGAUAAGUAAUGUGAAUUGCAGAAUUCAGUGAAUCAUCGAAUCUUUGAACGCACAUUGCGCCCUCUGGUAUUCCGGAGGGCAUGCCUGUUCGAGCGUCAUUUCAACCCUCAAGCCUGGCUUGGUGUUGGGGCACCGCCUUUGCAAAAGGGCGGGCCCUGAAAUCUAGUGGCGAGCUCGCCAGGACCCCGAGCGUAGUAGUUAUAUCUCGUUCUGGAAGGCCCUGGCGGUGCCCUGCCGUUAAACCCCCAACUUCUGAAAUUUUGACCUCGGAUCAGGUAGGAAUACCCGCUGAACUUAAGCAUAUCAAUAAG